rnacentral:rRNA from 1 species
AUUGAACGCUGGCGGCAUGCUUUACACAUGCAAGUCGAACGGUAACAGGGUGCUUGCACCGCUGACGAGUGGCGAACGGGUGAGUAAUGCGUCGGAACGUGCCGAGUAGUGGGGGAUAACGCAGCGAAAGUUGUGCUAAUACCGCAUACGUACUGAGGUAGAAAGUGGGGGACCUUCGGGCCUCACGCUAUUCGAGCGGCCGACGUCUGAUUAGCUAGUAGGUGAGGUAAAGGCUCACCUAGGCGACGAUCAGUAGCGGGUCUGAGAGGAUGAUCCGCCACACUGGGACCGAGACACGGCCCAGACUCCUACGGGAGGCAGCAGUGGGGAAUUUUGGACAAUGGGCGAAAGCCUGAUCCAGCCAUGCCGCGUGUCUGAAGAAGGCCUUCGGGUUGUAAAGGACUUUUGUCGGGGAGGAAAUCCCCAGCGCUAAUACCGCUGGGGGAUGACAGUACCUGAAGAAUAAGCACCGGCUAACUACAUGCCAGCAGCCGCGGUAAUAC